rnacentral:rRNA from 1 species
CUACGAAGGUCCCAAGCGUUAUUCGGAAUCACUGGGCGUAAAGAGUACGUAGGCGGUUUGGUAAGUCAGGUGUGAAAUCCCGAAGCUCAACUUCGGAACUGCAUCCGAUACUGCCAGACUUGAGUAAUGGAGAGGCAGGUGGAAUUCUCGGUGUAGCAGUGAAAUGCGUGGAUAUCGAGAGGAAGACCAAUGGCGAAGGCAGCCUGCUGGACAUUUACUGACGCUGAGGUACGAAGGCUAGGGGAGCGAAAGGGAUUAGAAACCCCAGUAGUCC